rnacentral:rRNA from 1 species
AGUGAACGCUGGCGGUAGGCCUAACACAUGCAAGUCGAACGGCAGCACAGGAGAGCUUGCUCUCUGGGUGGCGAGUGGCGGACGGGUGAGGAAUACAUCGGAAUCUACUCUGUCGUGGGGGAUAACGUUGGGAAACUUACGCUAAUACCGCAUACGACCUACGGGUGAAAGCAGGGGACCUUCGGGCCUUGCGCGAUUGAAUGAGCCGAUGUCGGAUUAGCUAGUUGGCGGGGUAAAGGCCCACCAAGGCGACGAUCCGUAGCUGGGCUGAGAGCAUGAUCGGCCACCCGGGAACUAAGCCACGGUCCAGACACCUACGGGAGGCAGCAGUGGGGAGUAUUGGUCAAUGGGCGCAAGCCUGACCCAGCCAUACCGCGUGGGUGAAGAAGGCCUUCGGGUUGUAAGGCCCUUUUGUUGGGAAGGAAAUCCAGCUGGCUAAUACCCGGUUGGGAUGACGGUACCCAAAGAAUAAGCACCGGCUAACUUCGUGCCAGCAGCCGCCGUAA